rnacentral:snoRNA from 1 species
AUUCCAUGAUUUAGACAUUUUUUAAACAUGUCUUUUAAUCUCUCCCAAGCAUCAUGAAAGCUUUUCGAGUCAAGUUGUUGCAAAAUAGUUAUAUCAUGCUUGAGUUU